rnacentral:rRNA from 1 species
AGAGUUUGAUCAUGGCUCAGGAUGAACGCUAGCGGCAGGCUUAAUACAUGCAAGUCGAGGGGCAGCAUGGUGUAGCAAUACACUGAUGGCGACCGGCAAACGGGUGCGGAACACGUACGCAACUUACCCAAAACUGGGGAAUAGCCCGGGGAAACCCGGAUUAAUACCUCGUAAUAUAAUUGAAUGGCAUCAUUUGAUUAUUAUAGCUCCGGCGGUUUUGGAUGGGCGUGCGCCUGAUUAGGUAGUUGGCGGGGUAACGGCCCACCAAGCCUACGAUCAGUAACUGGUGUGAGAGCACGACCAGUCACACGGGCACUGAGACACGGGCCCGACUCCUACGGGAGGCAGCAGUAAGGAAUAUUGGUCAAUGGACGCAAGUCUGAACCAGCCAUGCCGCGUGAAGGAUGAAGGUCCUCUGGAUUGUAAACUUCUUUUAUAUGGGAAGAAAUCCAUCUUUUCUUGGGUGGUUGACGGUACCAUAGGAAUAAGCACCGGCUAACUCCGUGCCAGCAGCCGCGGUAAUAC